UAAUACGUAGGGGGCUAGCGUUGUCCGGAAUCAUUGGGCGUAAAGCGCGUGUAGGCGGCCCGGUAAGUCCGCUGUGAAAGUCGGGGGCUCAACCCUCGGAUGCCGGUGGAUACUGUCGGGCUCGAGUACGGAAGAGGCGAGUGGAAUUCCUGGUGUAGCGGUGAAAUGCGCAGAUAUCAGGAGGAACACCGAUUGCGAAGGCAGCUCGCUGGGACGUUACUGACGCUGAGACGCGAAAGCGUGGGGAGCAAACAGGA
rnacentral:rRNA from 1 species